rnacentral:rRNA from 1 species
GGGGAAUAUUGGACAAUGGGGGAAACCCUGAUCCAGCGACGCCGCGUGAGUGAAGAAGUAUCUCGGUACGUAAAGCUCUAUCAGCAGGAAAGAAAAUGACGGUACCUGACUAAGAAGCCCCGGCUAACUAC